CCUCAAGGACGAGAGAAAGCCUUAUCUAAAUAACCCUUGGGUCAACAGUACUUAGUCACACAGCAACUUCCGCGUUCACUGACAUAUUACGCAGCAGCAACAACAACAACAAGCUACAGAGGAAGUGGUGGGACACAAGCGGCAGGUUCACCAGUUAUGGAUUGCUGAGAAGAGUUUCUGGUUUAUCAGAAAGGAGUUGCUCCGCUGGAAGACUGUGAAAGAUGAAAAAAGUUAAUGAUCUCGUUGAUUUCUACCACUACACCAAAGCAUCUGCUAUUGACUCAAUUAUUGCCCUUGGGGUUCUCUUGGAAAGCGAAGGUGGCGCUGCUAAACACCAAAGUACAGGUGUGUACGGUACAGCGCUGCCACCUUUGAUGGGUAAAAGGAAAAUAGCCAGAAAUAACUGGAUGAAAGGAUGGAAAGAACGGGAACAAAUUGGCAGCGUUGACUAUGUCAUCCAUCUUCGCAUUCCCAAAAAGAAGCUAAGGGAAUUAAACAUUCCCUCCCGUCAACUGUAUGUCCACAGAGGACCCAUACGACUCGACGAUUACGAAUGGUCCGUGGAGCAACUGUAGCAAGUUUUGUGCUCUCCACAAAAAUCACAUCCACAGCCUCUGGGUUUUUCUACUUUCGCUUUCUGUGUGUACUUUUUUUUUUCUUAUUUAGUCAAUCAUGUCAUCAAAAAAAUAUUAAAUAUGGCGCGCAUACAAACACCCAACACACUAGAAUGUAUAUGCAUUUCUAUAAACAGCUCUGUGCAUUCACUACGUGCAGACUACGUGCAGACUACGUGCAUACUACGUGCAGUCACUAUUUGCAACCACCACGUGCACAACACGCAGCCAUACAUGUAAGUUCAGGUGCGCUGCUACAAAGUGUGUCAACAAAGUGGUGUGGAGGCUGAAAGGAAAAGAUCUUUAGGGGCAUUAAAACUUAACGUCAACUUCACCAGAGGAUCUUGUCGAAGUGAAUAUUAAUAUACGAAAUAAAAUCAGAUCACAUCUGUAAGUCUUUCUUUGUCUGUAGUUUAAUCAACAGUUACUUUAAAAACAUUUUAAUGUCGUUACUACAAAAAUUGCAAUAAACUUCCUUUAGAAGUAU